AGAAGCCACGGCGGGCCCCCUGGGCCUGUACCAAAGUCCGGCGCGGAGGGGUGGGGGAGUCCGGGGGCCAUACCAUCAAGUCCCGGGGGAGGGAGUCUGCUCCGUAAACUCUGCAGCCGGCUUCACAGUUGGGAGCGUGUGCAAAGAUCAGAGGCCAACUUUCUCGUUUUACCGAGAAUAUGCCGAGGCUUCCCGGGGAAAGAUGCUUGCGCAAGGUCAGGCAGCUAAAAGACUAGGUUUGGUCUGGAUUAGAACUCGAGAGAGAGAAAUGAAUGACAAGGAACAGAAAGAAAAUAUCCAAAGGCCUACUGUAGUGGGGCAAGACCUUUCGUGUUCACAAGUUCUGAUGGACUCAAAGCUCCUUUUCAGUUGGGCGUGGUUGCCAUGUCCUUGAUCCCAGCAUUCAGGAGGCAGAGUCAGGAAGGUCUCUGUAGAUUGAGGCCAGCUUACUCUCCAUCGCGAAAGCCUCUCUCAAAAAUAUAACAAAACAAUUUUACAGAUAAAGUUGAAGAACUUCAGGUCUUUGGGAGUUAUUCAAUGUUACAAAUUAAAUUCCAUUUCCAAUUGUACACACUUUUAAAAAAAAAAAAAGACAAAACCCUAUAUGCCCCAGCAUGGUGACAAAGUAGCAGGACUUGAUGCUUUGUAUUUUUUUUGUUUAUUUUUGUUUUUUUGGUUUUUUUUUUCGGAGCUGGGGACCAAACCCAGGGCCUUGUGCUUGCUAGGCAAGCAAGCGCUCUACCACUGAGCUAAAUCCCCAACCCCUGAUGCUUUGUUUUUUUUGUUUUUUUGUUUUUUUUUUUGGUUCUUUUUUUUCGGAGCUGGGGACCGAACCCAGGGCCUUGCGCUUCCUAGGUAAGUGCUCUACCACUGAGCUAAAUCCCCAGCCCCAUGAUGCUUUGUUUUUAAUUUACUAGAAAGAGUGCUCCUAUGUAAUGGCACUCAUGAGGGGUGGGUGGGGGCGGGGCGGGCCUGAGAUGCCGAUCAGAGGACAGAGGACAACUUUCAAGAGACAGGAGUUGGUUCUCUCCUUUCACUAAUUUAGGUCCCGGGGAUUGAACUGAACUCUUGGUCAGGCAUGGUGACAAGCACUUUUAUGCACUGAACCAUCUCACCUAACCAGAACUUAGUUUUUGUAAACUGAAAGUCUAUGUUUUGGGUUGUUUGUUUGUUUGUUUGUUUGUUCGUUCCUUUGUUUUUUGUUUUUAGAGACAGGGUUUCUUUCUGUAGCCCUGAGUGUUUUGCAAUUCACUCUGUAGAUCAGGCUUCCCCACUCCCCCACCCCCAAACCAUGCCAGCAAAAUUUCUUAACCUUCCUAUUACUGACACCCUGGCUGUCUUCAGCCUUGUGGAUGUUAAUUGGCAUGCCUGGCCUUCUUAGAUGCCAGUGGCAACACCCUACACACACCCAUACUGUGACACCCAAAAUUGUCCUUAGACAUUGACAAAUGUCUGGGAGUGUCAAGAUGGCAGGAAACUGUCCUCUCCCAUGCUCCUACAGAACCACCACACCAGAUCCUGAAUCCAUCAAUCUUCAAGCAGUCAUUACUGGUCAACCAAAAGGCUCUGCGCUGAGCUUUUUUUUUUUUUUUAAACCACAGUGCUGGACAGACAUAGCGGCACCCGAGUUUCAUACCAGCGCUGGGCUGUGGAUCUCUGUGAUGGCUUCCCUGCUGGCUUUAGUUAUAGAAUGCUGACCAGCGCAGGUGAGGUUCCGAACCAGGAGCUACCAUUCCAAACCGAUGCCGGGAUUCAUUAAGGUCAAGCACACCAGCAUUUCCGGCUGAAUGUCAGGCUCACAUCUAUGUGCCAAUGACGGUCACAUACUCCACAACACACAUGCCAGCAGCGAGACCCUGACUGAGUCACCCCUCAGCUUCCUCUUCUAGAAUACAGAGUAGUCCUCGUUCCUCCUCACGGAGUUACGGCGGGGACUGAAUGAGCCAGUACACAUAAGAUGUGCCUGACUAGGAGGCGUGCUUUUAUAAGGUAUACCUGAGAUCGUUCUAACUUGACGACAGUGAUGGGUACUCGGGGAUGAGAGCCCAUGGACAGAGCAGUGAGGAGGCAUCUCGAGCUUUUGGGACUAGGCCCAGGAGGUGAAUACUAGGCUGUGAGAUAGGACAAGCCCAGAGCUGGGAAAUCUUUUAGCCUCUAACUGUUAGAGGAGUCUAACCUGAUUCAAAGUGUCUUUACACUCCUGGGAUCAAUUUCAGCACCUGUUGCCCUGGGCCUGUGGGAAGUUUCGGCUAAUCUGACCUCUGUUUUGUUUUGUUUUUUUGGUUCUUUUUUUUUUUUUUUUUUUUCGGAGCUGGGGACCGAACCCAGGGCCUUGUGCUUCCUAGGUAAGCGCUCUACCACUGAGCUAAAUCCCCAGCCCCUAAUCUGACCUCUGAACUAGCUUAUUCUUUUCUGUGGCAUUUUCUUUCUGCAAAGGUUAUCAAAUUCCUUCUAGAAAAAUCCCACCUAUAGGCUUAGAGAUAUGGUUCGGUGGUAGCACUGACCAUGCAUGCACAGGGCCUGGGUCUGAUGCCCAGGUACACAGGCCCAUGCCUGUAAUACAAGCACCUCCUCGUGAGGUAGAAGCAGGAAUAUCGGGAGCUCAGGGAGCAUCUCAGACUCAGAGAGAGUUAAAGGCCAGCCUGGGCUACGUACAACAUUGUCUCCAAAAAAGUAAUGGCUAAAAAAUAAACAUUCAAUAAAAUCCUACCCAUCGUGGGUGAACAUGGGGUAAGGACCUUUUCUAGAAGGAGGAGGGGUCUAUGUGGUCUCUUUACCUGUUAGGUCUCUGUAGGAAAGGACCAGUGCUUACUGAGCAGCUCCCAUGGGUCAGAGUGUUUCCCAAAAUCCAUUGUUGUACACCGGGAAACUGAGGCUCAGAGGGUAACAUAACUUACCCAGAGUGAUGACUAGCAAUGGCUUAGUGUGCCCUAAGCACUAUUCUGAUCUCAUAUUUAAGAAACCAGAGGUCAAGCAGUGGUGGCACACUUCAAUCCCAGCAUUUUGGAGGCAGAGACAAAUGGAUCUCUAAGUUUUGAGGCUAGCCUGGUCUACAUAGUGAGUUCCUGGACAGCCAGAGCCACACAGAGAAACCCUGUCACACACACACACACACACACACACACACACACACACACACUCACACCAGAGAGAUAGAGAGACAGAGAGAGAGACAGAGACAGAGAGAAAGGUUUUACCUCCUGUGCCAGUCUACUUCUGGCAUACUAGGUGGCCACAAUUAAGCAAGGAAGAGCUGGAGUUUUUUAGAGGUGUGGGGACUCAGAGGCAGAGACAGGAUCUAGCAGGAAAUGAAGCAUCUAACAGAGGAUUUCAGAGUCACAAGCCCAAGUGAAUGGAAGAGAAGCAACUUGGAGUUUCAGAGUCUGAGCCUGGGUAGAAGAGAGCGGGAACGUAUGGAUUUGCUCCCCUUCCUCAUAGACUUGGAGUUGCUUCUCUUUUUUUUUUUUUUUUUUCUUUUGUUUUUUUGGAGCUGGGGUCCGAACCCAGGGCCUUGCGCUUGCUAGGCAAGUGCUCUACCACUGAGCUAAAUCCCCAAUCCCUUGGAGUUGCUUCUCUUAAUGCUCACCUGGGUAAGGGAUCCGGCCAUGGGUGACGAUCUCUGUCAGCAGGAUCCCGAAGGACCACACAUCUGACUUGAUGGUAAAGGUCCCAUAGUUAAUGGCUUCUGGUGCUGUCCACUUAAUGGGAAACUUGGCCCCUAGAGGGAAGCGAAGUUAGUUCACCUGAGUGUAUUUGCUCUCCUGCAGGUGGUGAACCUCCUCUCUGUCCCACACCUACCCUCCCGGGCCGUGUAUUCAUUGUCCUCAAUCAGACGUGCCAGGCCAAAGUCUGCAAUUUUGCAGCUCAGCGUGUCAGACACCAGGAUGUUGGCAGCCCGCAGGUCACGAUGGAUGUAAUUCUGCUCUUCGAUGAACGCCAUGCCCUCUGCAAUCUGCAGGCCAGGAGUAGGUCACCAGUGUUUAUCUCACUGACCUGUAGCCGCACAGGUCAUGCCCUUUGCCAGUCUCCUUACCUGGGCUGCCAUGUCCAAAAGUUUGUUGACGUUCAACUUGAUGCCCGAGGGAGUCUUGAGGAAAUCUACUAGGCUCCCUGUGAGCAAAAGCAAGAGUUGUUGACUUAAAUUGCCCAGGGGGAAGCCCCUAGACCCUUCCAGCUCCACGUAGGUUCUGGAAGUAGUGCCUGACCUCGGCAAGGAAGCUCACUCUGACUGAGAAGAGAGUGUGUGCUUGGGGGUUGGAGGGGGGAUGCUGUGAGGAAGGUGGGGACACUUAGCAUAUGGGAUGGCCUUUUAGAGGGCUAGGAUGGGCAGAGGAUCCAGAGGCUUUUUUCAUCAGUUAAGGCAGAGCCCCAUCUCUGCAGCAGCCAAAGCCCAGCAGCAUGUUUCAUGGCUGUCUUCUUCCCAAAGGCCUGUCUUUCUCUACCACAGACUAUUGUUGGAUUCUUCACACAGAGUGCUAGACUCUUUCUUCCAAAUCGCUUUGCUUCAUCUCUUGUCUUCUAGAAAUUUUCUUCUUUUCCUUUCCUGUCUGGCUGGAUCACUCUUCUACACUAUUCCUACCAGCCCUCAUAAAUUCCUCACCUAAUCAGCAGGGCAAUUGUGGCACGCAAUUUGAAUCCCAGUACUAGGGAGGCAGAGGUAGGCAAAUCUCUGAUUUGGGGACCAGGAAAGCCAGGGCUACACAGAGAAACCCUAUCUCAAAAAACCAAAAACAACAACAAAAAGAGGCCAGGGAACGGUGAUGCACAGCUUUAAUCCCUGGGGACACAGAGGCAGACGGAUCUCUGUGAGUUCACGGCCAGCCUGGUCUACAGAGAGAGUUCCAGAACAGCAAAGGCUACACAGAGAAAUUCUGUGUUUUAAAAAAAAAAGCCUUGUGGUAGUGGCCUUUAUUCCAUGCACGGGGGAGGCAGAGGACACAGAGAAACCCUGUCUUGAAAAGCCAAACCAAAAAAGAACGAAAUGAAAUGAAAUAUCUUCACUAUCUACAUUCCUAGGGUAUUUGGGAACAUCCCUAAGUCACAAACUGCUUUUCUCAGUGUCCAUGAUCAAAAUCAGGUUUCAGCUGGUUACGACAGCAUACACCUUUAAUCCCAGCACUCAGGAGACAGAGGCAGGCAGAGCUCUGACUCCAGGGCCAGCCUGGUCUACAGAGUGAGUUCCAGGACAGUCAGGGCUACACAGAGAGACCCUGUCUUAAAAAGAAAAAAAAAAAACAAAACAAAACUACCAAUAAGAAAACCUAUUUGCCAUUUCCAGGAAUCAUUAGCCAAUGAACAGUUUGUUUCCCUUUCUGAAAGGUGGACAGAUUUUUGUACUCUAAACAUUGUAAACCACAUCAAAACAAGGCUGGACAGGAACUGUUCCUCUCAAUCCCCAUAGCAACCAUGGAGAAUUACUCUUCUCUUAGCACCACUAUGUUUUAAUUACAUGUAUUAUAUUCAUAGGGGAUGGCACACGUAUGUGCCAUUGCACACGUAUGUACAGUUGUCCUCUAUAACUUUCAAGAGUCAGCUCUUUCCCUCUAUCAUGUGGAUUCCAUGCAUUGAACUCCUGUUUGUCAGGCUUGACAGCAAGCACCUUUAUCUGACGAGCCAUCUUGCUGGCCCUAAACCCACUAUUUUACAGAUUAAAAAGAACUAUUUGCAGCAGAAAGCAAUGAUGUGAUCAGCCCAAAGCCAUACAAGAUUAUAAAGCCUCAACUCUAUCCGGGCAGUCAGACUCUUGGAUCCUUCACAAACAUACUACAUGUUGGGGCUAGAAGGUGGCUCAGUGUUUGAGGAGAGCACUGGCUGUCCCUCCAGAGGACCUGGGUUUGAUCUCCAGUAGCUCACCACUGUCUGUAACUCCAGGGUAUCCCACACCCUUUUCUGGUCUCUUCAGGCACCAGGCACCGCACACUAUUUCUUGGGUCAAGCAUUCUGGGAUCCAGGUGGGCAUUGGCAGAAGGCAACAGAAACUGCACAUCAGGGACUAUCAGAAUUAGAACUGAUAGAUCAGAGGCCUAGGGGCCCAGGAAAGCGUCCUUAGAAACCUUCAGUGGCAGGCCAGAGAAAAAAAGCACAUUCCUAGCCUGGGUGCAAAAGGCAGUGAGGCCACAAUAGCGCCCUCAAGCGGCUGGACAUGGAAGCAUACCCACCGUUCUCCAUGUAUUCUGUGAUAAUGUAGAUGGGCUCCUGGGUGACCACUGCAUAAAGCCGGACGAGCCGCGGGUGCUGCAGCUGCUUCAUGAGGUUAGCCUCUGCCAGGAAGGCAUCAGGAGACAUACUCCCUUGCUUCAGACUUUUCACUGCCACCUUCGUGUGUCCAUUGUAGUAUCCUGGGAGACGGGAUACGGGUAGAGGAGUUACAGAGGUCAAGAUCCUGACGAACCAGGCAGCCGCCCUGAAUAGGCCAGUGUGAGAGGAAGCUCACACUUCCUCCCCUCUUUCCAAUCAGUACAGAGAGCCACACUCACCCAUCCACACUUCCCCGAACUGGCCAGCUCCCAGCCGCUCAACCAACUUCAAUGUCUCUCUGGGAACUUCCCAUUCGUCCUCCCACCAUGGUUUCUGGGGCUUCUGGGUCUGGCAAGGACGGCUCAAUUUUGUGCACAGCCCAUCAGAGGCGUCUGCAUGGACAAAGGAGAAGGAUGGGGUCUCACUGCAUUGCCCAGGCUGGUCCAGCACUCUUGUGUUCAAGUGGACUUUCUGCUCAGCAUCAUAGGUGGCUGGACGAACACUGUCACUCAAACACUGUCACAUGUAGCUUUGACUUUCGAUUUUAGAUGAUCAAAGCAAGCCCCAGGGAGGCCUGCCUGAAGCAGUACAGCAAAACAAGCCUUGUUAAUUUAUGCCGUAUCCAAGUUGAUGUGGGAGCAAGGGGAGACAUCUGGCUAGCAGACUUCAGAAGACCCAGCUUGAGAAUCUGAAAGACCUAUGCUAAAAUAUUACUUGGAUUGUAGGUCUAUGAUCCCGGCCCUUGGGAGGUAGAGGCUGGAGGAUCAAAAUGUCGAGGUCAGUCCUCAUUACACAGGGAGUUCGAGACCAGCCUGGAUUCCACGAAAUCCUCUCUUAGAAACAAGGCAAACUGAGAACAAAACUCCAGAAAACAAAAUGCAGUAAGAUAAUACUAGUGUGCCUGAUUUUGUCCAAACCAUUCUUCUCCUCGUCUGUCACUGAGAUUUGCCAACCCCUUUUCUUAGGUCACCCGAUAUAUAUUAGCUCAGUUUGCAGGAGCUCGGAAAGGCACCCACCAGCACCCUUCAGCUUUACCCACCCCUGCAUGGGACUGUGAGAAACCGGAAUUGAAGACUAAUCCUCUUCAGGCUCAUGGUUUUUAACCUGAGCCACUCAUAGCAUCCCACGGGUUCCGGAACUUACAGUGUGCAUCUCCCUGGGUAUUAGACUGUAAACAAUGUGUGGCUAUAUGAGGGAUAAUAAAACAUCCCUGGAACAUUGAGCCAAAUCAAGAAACAUCUUCAGAGGGGUUGUGGAGGUAGUUCAGUGGGUAGUGCUUUGCCAAAUAUCCUAAGCUUCAAUUGCCAGCACUGAAUAGACUCGGACUUGGUGUGUGUUCCACACAGGUAGUUCUAGCACUGGAGUGGAGGCAGGAGAAUCAGGAUUUCAAGGUUAGCUUGGGAUACAAGAGACCUCGCCUCAGAAACUAGUGGGGAGGGGGAGACUCAAGAAAGGAGUAGACGAACACAUUCACACAUUCACUCUUCCUUCAUCCCGUGGCUGGGAGGCCAUAACUCAACUCAUCAAGGCUCCAUGGGCUGUCUUAUCAGCUCAGCUAUCUUAUGGCCAGACAGUGGCUGGCAGUGGCAGGAACUCCCAGAAGAAAAGUGGAGAGUGAGUAAGCAUCCUGUUUGUGAUUUGCAGGGGCCCUAGGAAAACACGGGUUGGUUAAGCUGUGCCACAGUGGGUGAUCUGUGCACUUAGAGCGGUAAGGUGGUGCCUUUUAGAACUGGCAUUUUUAGAGGCUUUGGGAAAAGGCAAGAGACACGGUGUGAUGACUCAGGCCUUUUAAAUGGAGCUCUCAGCUCUGGGAGGCAGAUGCAGGCAGAUUUCUACUUGGUCGAGGUUAACCUGGUCUACAUGGUGAGUUCCAGGCUAUCCAAGGCUACAUGAUGAGACAUACACUGGGUCUCAAAGGAAAAAGAAAAGAAAAGAAAAAAAAGCAAACACAAGAAAUACAUUUGGGGUUAAGGACGGUGAUUUAGGGGCUGGCUUGGUUAGGAACCCUUGCCACUCCUCCAAAGGACCUGGGUUUGAGUCCCAGCAGCCACGUUUUGGCUCACAACCGUCUAAGUCCAGUUCCAAGGGAUCUGAUAUCCUGUCUUCCGCCCACACCGUGAGCUCAGGCACUUCAGCAGCACACAGACACAGAAAAUUUAAAAAAUGUAAAAAAGCAAAAAGAAGGAGGAGGAGGAGGAGGAAGAGGAGAGGAUGGUGAUUUAAGACCUAAUGGCAUAGGUUGCAGCUGGGUGUGUUGCUGAGAUAGGAAGAUCAAGAGUUCGAGGCUAACCUGUGCUACUACACGAAACCUAUCUGGGGCAAGAGAGAUGGUUUGAUGCUUGAAAAGCACAGAACCAGAGUCUGGCUCCCAGCCCCCACCAGGCUGCCUGUAAGCCUAGCUCUAGAAAGGCCUCACACCUCUGGCUUCACACCUCUGGCUUUCACAGUCAUCUUACGCAUACAUAGCACCCCUCCUCCACAUACACAUAAUUAAAAGUAAGAUAAAUAUUUUUGAAGGGGGCUGGGGAGAUGGCGAGAUGGUUCAGUGGCUAAGAGCACUGGGUGCUCUCUCAGGAGGCAGGAAUUUGAUUCCCAGUACCUACUUAAAGGUUCACAGCCAUCUGUAACUUCAGUUCCAGGGGAUCUACCCUCCUCAGGUCUCCUCUGGCAAGAGGAAUUCACAGAGUGUACAGAUAUACUGACAGACAUAAAUACACACACACACACACACACACACACACACACACACACACACACAAACAA